rnacentral:lncRNA from 1 species
AUUGAGAGUCCCAUAGGGCGUGGCGCACAAUCGGCCCAGCGUCGUCCGGGUUUGGCCCGGGGUAGGCCGUCCGUGUAAAUAAGACUUUGUUCAUAACUGACUUGCCUCGUUAAAUAAAUCUAAAUAAAGUAAAGGCCUGCUGUUUCAUUGAAACAUUGAACAGUAUAGGUCUAUAUUGGGUUAUGUCCUAUGUGUGGAGUCAAACCAAGGCUAGAAUUCCUAACAUUGUCCAGCCUCCCUCGUCGUUAAAACAUUAGUAUGACUUCAUACUGGAGCUCUGAGUCAGACUGAAUGUAAUCACUACAUGGAGAGGACUACAGAGGAACAGAGAGACAAGAUCUACGCAGUACAGAGAGAGGACUACAGAGGACUACAGAGAGACAAGAUCUACUCAGUACAGAGAGAGGACUACAGAGGAACAGAGAGACAAGAUCUACUACAGAGGACUACAGAGGAACAGAGAGACAAGAUCUACGCAGUACAGAGAGAGGACUACAGAGGAACAGAGAGACAAGAUCUACUCAGUACAGAGAGAGGAAUACAGAGGAACAGAGAGACAAGAGCUACUCAGUACAGAGAGAGGACUACAGAGGAACAGAGAGACAAGAUCUACUCAGUACAGAGAGAGGACUACAGAGGAACAGAGAGACAAUAUUUACUACAGAGGACUACAGAGGAACAGAGAGACAAGAUCUACUACAGAGGACUAUAGAGGAACAGAGAGACAAUAUCUAUUCAGUACAGAGAGAGGACUACAGAGCAACAGAGAGACAAUAUAUACUACAGAGGACUACAGCGGAACAGAGAGACAAUAUAUACUCAGUAUAGAGAGAGGACUACAGAGGAACAGAGAGACAAUAUAUACUCAGUAUAGAGAGAGGACUACAGAGGAACAGAGAGACAAGAUCUAUUCAGUACAGAGAGAGGACUACAGAGAGACAAUAUCUACUACAGAGGACUACAGAGGAACAGAGAGACAAGAUCUACUCAGUACAGAGAGAGGACUAUAGAGGAAUAGAGAGACAAUAUCUACUCAGUACAGAGAGAGGACUACAGAGGAACAGAGAGACAAUAUCUACUCAGUACAGAGAGAGGACUAUAGAGGAACAGAGAGACAAGAUCUACUCAGUACAGAGAGAGGACUAUAGAGGAACAGAGAGACAAUAUCUACUCAGUACAGAGGACUACAGAGGAACAGAGAGACAAUACAGGAGCUGCUCUCCUGGUACAAUGGCGCCCCCUGCCAGCCACAGUAGGAAACAGCUGGACCUGGACCUGGGAGAGUCUAAAAAGCCCCCAUAACAACUCUGUAUGAAAACCUUCCAAAUGGCAUAGCAGGAUUUCUUGUAAGCUUCCGGGUUAGAAUCCUGCACCUUGAAAGCGGCAGCUCUACCCUUUAGCUCAGUGCGAAUGUUGCCUGUAAUCCAUGGCUUCUGGUUGGGGUAUGUACAUACAGUCCGGAACCAGGGGAGACGGCCACUCUCCGGAACCAGGGGAGACGGCCCACUGUCCGG